rnacentral:rRNA from 1 species
UACGUAGGGGGCUAGUGUUGUCCGGAUUUAUUGGGCGUAAAGAGCUCGUAGGUGGUUCGGUAAGUCGGAUGUGAAAUCUCCAGGCUCAACCUGGAGGGGUCAUUCGAUACUGCCGUGACUAGAGUUCGGUAGAGGAGUGUGGAAUUCCUGGUGGAGCGGUGAAAUGCGCAGAGAUCAGGAGGAACACCCGUAGCGAAGGCGGCACUCUGGGCCGAUACUGACACUGAGGAGCGAAAGCCAGGGGAGCAAACGGG